rnacentral:rRNA from 1 species
CCUACGGGUGGCAGCAGUGAGGAAUAUUGGUCAAUGGGCGGAAGCCUGAACCCGCCAAGUAGCGUGCGGGAUGAAGGCCCUACGGGUCGUCAACCGCUUUUGCACGGGGAUCCCACCCUCCCCUUGUGGAGGUCUGCAGGUACCGUGCGACUAAGGGCCUGCUAAUUCCGUGCCAGCAGCCUCGGUAAUACGGAAGGCCCGAGCGUUAUCCGGAUUCAUUGGGCUUAAAGGGCGCGUAGGCGGGCGUUCAAGUCAGCUGUAAAAUCGCGCGGCUCAACCGCGCCCCGAAGGUGAAACUGGACGCCUUGAGUUCACAACAGGCAGGCGGAAUUCGUGGUGUAGCGGUGAAAUGCAUAGAUAUCACGAGGAACCCCGAUUGCGAAGGCAGCCUGCCGGGGUGCGACUGACGCUGAGGCUCGAAGGUGCGGGUAUCAAACAGGAUUAGAUACCCGGGUAGUC